GCGGAUGGGCCAUCCGCUGGAAUGUAACCGUAAGGUUGAACCGUUAA
rnacentral:ncRNA from 1 species